UCGUUUGUAGUUAAGUGGUAGAAUUCUUGCCUUCCAUGUGAGAGAUCUGGGUUUGAUUCCUGGCCAAUGCA
rnacentral:tRNA from 1 species